CCAAAUGCGAGGUGAAGCUUUGCUUCUCCCGCGUUACCUUCUCAUCCCCUUUGUGGUGUACCUUUGUUUCCUCGGCAGGCUUGCCUGCCGCCAGGACCCCCCAUAAACCUUUUUGCAGUAAGCAGUAUACGUCUGAUCAUAAACAAAUCGUUUA
rnacentral:misc_RNA from 1 species